rnacentral:lncRNA from 1 species
CACAUCGAACGGUAGCACACUGGGCCACCUACUUUUGCCUCUGUUGCUAGAUGCAUAACCAAAUGCACCAUAACAGUGAAAAAACCUGGCAGGAAUAUCAUCUCCAUAUGACAUAAUGUCAUUAUGAUUCUCUCCUCCAACUUCUCAAGCUCGCUGAUGUAUAGGACUUUUGCACUCACUUCUCUAAAAUACCCACACAAGUCAAACAACACAGAUGUGACAUAAUCUGGGAGUAGACCUCGGAUAGCAAGUGGCAGGAAAUGUUGCAUUAGUAUAUGACAAUCAUGACUUUUAAGGCCUGAGAUUCUCC